GAGGGUAUAGCUCAGCGGUAGAGCACGUGCUUAGCAUGACGAGGUUCUGGGUUCAGUCCCCAAUGUCUCCA
rnacentral:tRNA from 1 species